GCAUAUCAAUAAGCGGAGGAAAAGAAACCAACAGGGAUUGCCCCAGUAACGGCGAGUGAAGCGGCAACAGCUCAAAUUUGAAAUCUGGCAACAGCCCGAGUUGUAAUUUGCAGAGGAAGCUUCUGGUGAUGCACCGUCUAAGUCCCCUGGAACGGGGCGCCAUAGUGGGUGAGAGCCCCAUUUGACGGAUGUUGAGCCUGUGUGAAGCUCCUUCGACGAGUCGAGUAGUUUGGGAAUGCUGCUCAAAAUGGGAGGUAAAUUCCUUCUAAAGCUAAAUAUUGGCCAGAGACCGAUAGCGCACAAGUAGAGUGAUCGAAAGAUGAAAAGCACUUUGAAAAGAGGGUUAAACAGCACGUGAAAUUGUUGAAAGGGAAGCGCUUGUGACCAGACUUGCGCUGGGCUGAUCAUCCGGUGUUCUCACCGGUGACUCGGCCCAGCUCAGGCCAGCAUCGGUUCUGGCGGGGGGACAAAGGCGCUGGGAACGUAGCUCCCCAGGGAGUGUUAUAGCCCGGUGUGCAAUGCCCCCGCUGGGACCGAGGUUCGCGCAUCUGCAAGGAUGCUGG
rnacentral:rRNA from 1 species